GGGAUGCCAAGGGCAGGGAUGGGGGCAAGCCUGCGUCCAGGCAGUGGUCCCCAUCCGUGAGUCCCCUCGGUGCUCCCUGCCCGCCGUGGCCAUCCUCUCACAUCACUCACAGCCCCAUGGCGAGGCAUGGUUGACACUCCCACGUUAGGGCUGAGACCCUGGGCUUAGUUAGAGGGAGCAGUACUAACCAGGUUACUGCUGGUCCCUGGCGGAAACGCUUUGGCUGGGUGAGGAGAGCAGGAUCGCCCCCAUUUCUCCAGAGAGGGGCCCCGGCUCAGCGAGGGAAAGAGGCCGCCGCUGGGGGGACUGCUGGCCGGGGCCCCUCCCUGGAGAAGGAGAGGCCGCCGCUGGAGGGGGAUGGACUGUCGGAGCGACACUCAGCGACCGCCCUACCUCCUCCCGCCCCGCAGCGACACGGGCGACCGCAAGCAGAUCUACAACAUCCUGAGCACGCUGGGGCUGCGACCCUCGACCACCGACUGUGACAUCGUGCGCCGCGCCUGCGAGAGCGUGUCUACGCGCGCUGCGCACAUGUGCUCGGCGGGGCUGGCGGGUGUCAUCAAUCGCAUGCGCGAGAGCCGCAGCGAGGACGUAAUGCGCAUCACUGUGGGCGUGGAUGGCUCCGUGUACAAGCUGCACCCCAGCUUCAAGGAGCGGUUCCACGCUAGCGUGCGCAGGCUGACGCCCAGCUGCGAGAUCACCUUCAUCGAGUCGGAGGAGGGCAGUGGCCGGGGCGCAGCCCUGGUCUCGGCGGUGGCCUGUAAGAAGGCCUGCAUGCUGGGCCAGUGAGAGCAGUGGCCGCAAGCGCAGGGAGGAUGCCACAGCCCCACAGCACCCAGGCUCCAUGGGGAAGUGCUCCCCACACGUGCUCGCAGCCUGGCGGGGCAGGAGGCCUGGCCUUGUCAGGACCCGGGCCGCCUGCCAUCGCGCUGGGGAACCGAGCGGGCCUCUUCCCUCAGUUUUUCGGUGGGACAGCCCCAGGGCCCUAACGGGGGUGCGGCAGAAGCAGGAACAGAGACUCUGGAAGCCCCCCACCUUUCUCGCUGGAAUCAACUUCCCAGAAGGGAGUUGCUCACUCAGGACUUUGUUGCAUUUCCACACUGUCAGAGCUGUUGGCCUCACCUGGGCCCAGGCUCUGGGAAGGGGUGCCCUCUGGAUCCUGCUGUGGCCUCACUUCCCUGGGAACUCAUCCUGUGUGGGGAGGCAGUUCCAAUAGCUUGACCAGACCUAGACCUGGGCCAAAAGGGCAGCCAGGGGCUGCUCAUCACCCAGUCCUGGCCAUUUUCUUGCCUGAGGCUCAAGAGGCCCAGGGAGCAAUGGGAGAGGGCUCCAUGGAGGAGGUGUCCCAAGCUGCGAAUACCCCUAGAGACCUUUUCUCUCCCAUACCCCCAUCCCUGAGUGGCUUGUGAUUCUGGGAUGGACCCUCAUAGCAGGUACAAGAGACAGAGCCCCCAAGCCUCUGCCCCAAGGGGCCCACAAAGGGGAGAAGGGCCAGCCCUGCAUCUUCAGCUCCCACAGCGCUGGCUCAGGAAGAAACCCCAAGCAGCAUUCAGCACACCCCAAGGGACAACCUCAUCAUAUGACAUGCCACCCUCUCCAUGCCCAACCUGAGACUGCGUGGGUUUUUUAAUUAAAAAUGUUAAAAGUUUUAAACA
rnacentral:sRNA from 1 species